ensembl:lncRNA
AGGAUACAACAGAGAACAAAAUAGACAAGAUCCCUGUUCUCGUGUGGAAGACAGACAAUAAACAAAUAAUUUUAAAUAUAUAUAUGAUUUCAAAUAGUGAUAAUUGUCAUGAAGAACAACAAAGUAGUUUAGGAGAGUCAUGGAGAAGAAAGACCUCUCUGAAAUGGAUAUUUGACCAGAUGUUAUUUAAAGCCAUGACUCUGGGUGAGAUCACCUAGGAAGGAAAGCAAAUAGAGAAGAGAAAGCUGAGGACUCAGCUCUGGGGUAUUUCACCCUUUCAAUUUCAGUAAGAAUAGAAAGACCCAGUGAAGGAGACUGAGAAGGAAGCAGCUGUGAGAUAAGAAAACCAAGAAAAUAUGAGGUUCUGGAAGCCAACAACAGCAAAAAAGUGUUUGAAGAAAGAGGGAGUCAUCAACUGUAUCGCAGGCUACUGAGAGGAUGAGUAAGAUGAAGAUUAAGAACUGUUUAUUGAAUUUGGCAAGAAAGAGAUCUUUGCCAGGCAUAAGAUUGGUUUUAGUGGAAUCAGAGGACAAGAGCCCGACUGGAGUGUGUUCCAGAGAUAACGGGAGUUAAUUAAGUGCAAAGUCAUCAGCUGAGUGUGAGGAGUGAAGAGGGUUGUUGGAGAUUUGAGAAAGAAGAUUGCUGUGCUGCCACGGAAGGCUCACUUAAAUGUGUGGUCAUAGAUUUACAGUGGGACGAAUCAGCACAGCUGGACAUUUUCCUCCAGCCACGUGCAGCUGAACUUCGGAUUAAGAACUUCUGCUCUACACCCUUUCUCUGAUGGACUUCAUCCAAAUCCAUCACUUAGCCAACACCUAUGUAUCAUGAUUCCCAGAUCUGUAUCUCCCACCCAAACCAUUUUCUGGAACUCCAAACUCACUAAAUUUCUCAACUUAAAAUCUUCCACAUAUCCCUUAAAUUCAACAUAUCCAAAACUAAAAUAGAAUUUUAAAAACUACUCCUAUAGUCCUUAGCUCUGCUAAUGACCCACCAACCAUCUGAUACCUAAAAGAAGUGAAAGUCCUGCUACCUUUCUUCCUUGCUCAUUCCACACCUUGACCUCCAAACAGAGAAUCCGAUAGAUCCUAUCUUCUUUACAUCUUGCAUAUCUUUUCCCUCCAAUUUCAGUGACACAUCUAAAUUCAGUCCUUUGUCACUUUUCUCUUGGGUUUCUGCAAGACUCUCCUGUCUCUUUGAUGCCGGUCUACCCCCACUUUAAUCCAUCUUCCAUACUGCUUCCAGGCUUCUCUUUGGAAAAUGCAAAUCUCAUCACUUUACUCCAUUACUGAAAAUAUCUCAAAAGUUCUCUUUAGCUCAAAAAGUAAAAUUCACUUCAAGGUACAAUGCUGACUAUCCUUUAGCUUAAUAUCCUACCAAUCUGCCUCGUGGCCUUUCCUUUCAGCCAUUCCAAAUUACAUACAGUUUGCCAAAUCUCGUGUUGUACCACACUGGCAUAUCUUCAAACAUACCCCUCAUUUGAAAAAUGUUCUCCUCAUCUGCUAUUACUGAUGGCUCCUGGACAUUCCUCUAAGCUCCAUCCUUACAUCUACUGCAGGUAAAUUUUUAUGUAGUCCCAAAGGACCCCGAGCACACUAUACUUAUACUCACAUCACACUGACCUCGUUUGACCCCACAUCCCUUCUAGCCACCUCCUCAUUUCUCUGCUUUCCUUUGCAGCAAAGAGCCAUCAAGAAAUUGUCGAUACUCACUGUCACUCAUUCCUCUUCUCCCUUUAUCUCUGGAAUACAUUUAAAUUGGCCUUUUCAUCUUGACUAUUCUAGCAAAACAACUCUUGACAAAGUCACAAAUGUCUUUGACAUGGCAUAAAAAAUGGUGAAUUCUUAGUCCUCAUCUUACUGGUCUAUCACAGUUGCAGCAUUUGAUACAAUUAAUCAUUCCUUCCUUCUUGGAAGACUUUCUUCUCUUGGCUUCUAGGCAGCACUUUUUCUUGGUUCUCCUCCUAUCUCACUGGCAGCUCUUAUUCCAUCCCCUUUGCUGCUUCUCCUGAUCAGCCUGAGGCCUAAAACCUGGAGUGCUCUUUCCUAAGCUCUGUCUAUUCACUUUCUAGGUGAUAUCAUCACUUUCAUAGCUUUAAAUACCACCUAUAGGGAUAACCAUGCCCAAAUAUGUAUCCUAGCCCAAACCUCUACCCUGUCUAGACUAGAACACCCAACUACCAACUUAACACACGCACUUGAAUGUCUAAUAGGCAGCUUAGCAAACUCCUUUAGCAAUUUUUCCCUUUUCAAUAAAUGGCAAUUUUAUUCUUCCAGUUGCUAAAGCCAAAAACCUUAGAAUCAUCCUUGACUCUUCUCUUUCUCUCUCACUUCACAAUCAAUCCAUCAGUGAAUCUUGUGAGCUCUGCCUUCAAAAUACAUCCACAAUCCAGCCACUUCCUCCUCAUCACACUGGGUCAGCCCCAUUCUCUCACACCUGGAUUAUGUAACAGCCCCCCAACUGGUCUCCCAGCUUCCUUCCCUGUCUCUUUUCAUGCAACAGACAGAGUGAUUCUUUGAAAACAAGUUGUAUCAUGUCUCUUCUCUGCUCAGAAUCCCCAAAUUACUCCCAUAUCAGAGGCAUUACAAUGGUUUAGAAGACCCUACAUAAUCUAGACCCCUCUAUCUCCUUAAACUCAUUUGCAACACUCUCCCCAACACUCUGCUCCAACUACACUGGCCAAACAUGGUCCUGCUUCAGGCACCUUAUACCUGAUGCUUCCUCUGCCUAGAAUGUUUUUCCCUGGGGAUAUCCACACGGUCUCUCCCUCAUUUCUUUCACAUCUCUGCCACCCUCUCAGAGAGGUCUUGUCUGACUAUUUUCAAUUGUAGUUAUCACUAUCUCCUAAGUUGUUUGCUUAUUGGUUUAUCUUCUGUCUUAUUCCACCAUAAUGUAAGCUCUAUCAGGACAAAUACUUUAUUUUAUUCACUACUGUAUCCCCAGCACUAGAAUAGUGCCAAGCAUUUGAUAAUUGUUCAAGAAUAAAUCAAAUGAAUUUAAAUACUGGUUUAUUUAUGUGUCUCCCCCACUAAAAUCCAUGCUCUUUUAAAAUAAGGACCAACUUUAAAUCCCCUUUAUCUAGCCAAUGCCUAGCAUGUGUUCCAUCUAUUCAUGAAUAAAUGAGUGAAUGAGCAUACAAAUUAACUGCAAGCAUGAGGAUAUCUACCAGCCCUCAGAAAGGAUGGUUAACAAAAAGUUGACACUGUCAGUGAAAUGAAAAGAAAAAGUGUAUUCCUGAGAGGAUCUGGGCUCCAGAGGUGGCAGGAGACUCAGGCCAACUAAUUGGAGCUUCACAUUCCCUCGGCCACAGGAAUGGUUUCAGACAUGGAUCUCCACCAUAACCAUGGCUUCCAGGACAAAGACAAAUGCUCUGUCUACUAGAACGCAGCUGAGAGGAUGCAAGGUCUGGAGCUGCUGCCACCAUCUUGCUACCCCAUGAAAUUUGAGACUAAAGAAAACACCACAGAAGACGAAACCAGGAAAUAGAGACCAAAUCCUGAAGACAUCGUUUGAGCUCUGAAUUCAGUACUGUCUGAAUAUCUACUCCCUAGACUUUUAAAUUAUAUAAGUCAAUACAUUUCUUUUUUUCUUAAACUGGUUUGAAUUCAGUUUUUUGUCACUUGCUACAGAAAAAUUUGUGUUUGAUUCAAGAUCCUUAAAAAGUUAGAUUUCUGUGCCCAAAUGCCAGAUAUUCUGAUUGAUUGUGU